rnacentral:rRNA from 1 species
CCCUUAGAUGUUCUGGGCCGCACGCGCGCUACACUGAUGCAUUCAACGAGUCUAAAACCUGCUCUGAUAGGGGUGGGUAAUCUUUUGAAUGUGCAUCGUGAUUGGGAUAGAUGAUUGCAAUUUUUCAUCUUCAACGAGGAAUGCCUAGUAAGCGCAAGUCAUCAGCUUGCGUUGAUUACGUCCCUGCCCUUUGUACACACCGCCCGUCGCUCCUACCGAUUGAAUGGUCCGGUGAAGCGUUCGGACCGUGGCCUUUGGACGGUUCGCCGUCUGUUGGCUGCGGGAAGUUCGUUAAACCUUAUCAUUUAGAGGAAGGAGAAGUCGUAACA